UCGAAUGACUGGAUGGAUAACAAAGUAAAGCAUAUUAACACUUUUAACUGCCCAUUCAUAGCAGUUUUAAUAGAGUUAAUUGUAUUUUGAGUGAACUCUGAAAAACAAAAUGCAAAUCGGUCUGCAACAUUCAGUUCAGAUUAGCUUCCCUUAAUUGCAAAACUAAUUAUUGGAUUAUUUUUCUCACCAUUUAAAUAACAGCAUUCCUACAGUAAAGUGUGGAGGUGGUAAUAUCCUAUAAUAGGGGUGUUUCUCUGCAAAAAAGAAUGCAGCAUUUGAAAGGAUAGAAGGAAAAAUAGAAUACAGUCACAUUCUUGAGGAAAAUCUGCUGCCCUCUGUCAGAAAGUUGUCAGAGAAAGUCAAGAAGAGGGGUUAAACUUCCAACAUGACAGUGACCCAAAGUACACAGCAAAACUGACCAGACAGUGGCUGAAGGAGAAAAGGUAAAUGUCCAUGCAUGGCCUAUAGUCAGAGCCCAGACUUAAAAUCAGUGGAACGACUAGAAGCCUGCAGUCCACAAACACUGAACUGAACUCGAUCAGUUCUGCAAAAAAAAAAAGAGUGGGCAAAUAUUGAAAAGUCUAGAUGUGCAAAUAAGAACAAAUCCCAAAUGACUUAAGGCUGUAAUUAAAGUAAAAGGUGGUUCAAUAAAACACUGACGCAAGGGGGUGAUCCUUUUUUCUAACUCAUUGAUCCUUUUUUUUUUUUUUUUUUUUUUUUUUUUUGACAUGUUGGUGUUAUAUUUUCAAUUGUUGCACUAAGUAAAUACACCUGGAUCAAACAAAAUCUCAAUCCAUCUUCAUUUCAGGCUGCAAAGCAACAAAGUGGCAUUAUUUUAAAUGGGGGUGAUUCUUUUAUAUGCCCAAUUUAUAAAGUGGCCAUUCUGGCAAGGCGUUAUAUGACAAGUAAAAAAGAAAUUAACUAAUGAAAUAAGGUUACUAACAGUCGUAAUUGGUGGUAGUUCAUCUUAAGUGUUUAUAUAAACCUAUGACUGAGUCUCAUUGUGUAUUGCUGUUGUGUUUCAGGUUGCUGGGCUGGGAAACCCUGGCAGGAAUGGCUCUCGGCAUAGUGUUGUUAUGGCUGUGCUCACAAUGUUAGCUGAACAUUUGGCAGCACCGUAUAGCUGGAGAUCUGACCAACAGGUUCCAGGGGAGGUCACUGUAUCUUCAAGAUAUCUAGCUGGUUCUUCUUUGACCCAAGGUAAUACCACGGCUGUGCGUUGAUAUCGGGCGACCGUUGGGUAAAACGCCUGUUGACCGUCAUGUUUUGGGACGUUUUCCACAAGAGGAACUAAAUGUUCUAGACACUGUCAUGUUCUGCUGACAUAUAUCACAGACUCGCAACCCCAGACUUCACCAGCAGAGGGCAGAAGAGUGUCACGCAAGAAUAAAACCAGGACACUUUCAACGCCUCAGGAAAGGUCUCUGUCAUAUUUUAAAGUUCAGUAUAUUAGGAGGUAGCAGUCAGGGUUACAAGCUGUAUUAUAGUAUCUAACUGAUUUUCCUAAAUUUGGGUUUGCAAACCCCUAGAGGCUCCAGUAUGGAACUGCAGAAGUUUCAUUUAAUUGCCAAGCAGAAAAGCAAAUGCUGUAUUAAUAUUAAAGGGUUAGUUCACCGAAAAAUGAAAA